UGGGGAAUUUUGCACAAUGGGGGAAACCCUGAUGCAGCGACGCCGCGUGAUUUAGAAGGCCUUCGGGUUGUAAAAAUCUUUUUUACGGGAUGAAAAUGACAGUACCGUAAGAAUAAGGUCCGGCUAAAUACGUGCCAGCAGCCGCGGUAAUACGUAUGGACCGAGCGUUGUCCGGAAUCAUUGGGCGUAAAGGGUACGUAGGCGGCCUAGUAAGUUAGAAGUUAAAGAAUAUAGCUCAACUAUAUAAAGCUUUUAAAACUGCUAGGCUUGAGAGAUGGAAGGGAAAGUGGAAUUCCUAGUGUAGCGGUGAAAUGCGCAGAUGUUAGGAAGAAUACCGGUGGCGAAGGCGACUUUCUGGUCAUAAUCUGACGCUGGGGUACGAAAGCGUGGGUAGCAAACAGG
rnacentral:rRNA from 1 species